rnacentral:rRNA from 1 species
AGCAGCCGCGGUAAUUCCAGCUCCAAUAGCGUAUAUUAAAGUUGUUGCAGUUAAAAGCUCGUAGUUGAAUUUCGGAAUCAGUACGCUGGUCGUGCCUUCGGUAUGUACUGGUGUCACUGAUUCCUCCCUUCUGAAGAACCAUCAUGCCAUUCACUUGGUGUGGUGGGGAAUCAGGACUGUUACUUUGAAAAAUUAGAGUGUUUAAAGCAGGCUAACGCUUGAAUACAUUAGCAUGGAAUAAUGAAAUAGGACGUUCGAUCCUAUUUUGUUGGUUUCUAGGAUUGACGUAAUGAUUAAUAGGGAUAGUUGGGGGCAUUAGUAUUCAAUUGUCAGAGGUGAAAUUCCUGGAUUUAUUGAAGACUAACUACUGCGAAAGCAUUUGCCAAGGAUGUUUUCAUUAAUCAAGAACGAAGUUAGGGGAUCGAAGACGAUCAGAUACCGUCGUAGUCUUAACCAUAAACUAUGCCGACUAGGGAUCGGAUGAUGUUAAUUUUUUUAAUGACUCAUUCGGCGCCUUAUC